rnacentral:rRNA from 1 species
GUAACUGCGAGUGAAGCGGGAAAAGCUCAAAUUUAAAAUCUGGCUUAGCUUCGCCGCCCGAGUUGUAAUCUAGAGAAGCAUUAUCAGCGCUCGCGGCGUGUACAAGUGUCCUGGAAUGGACCAUCAUAGAGGGUGACAAUCCCGUCUUUGACACGGCUGCCYUUAGUGCUAUUGAUGUGCUCUCAACGAGUCGAGUUGUUUGGGAAUGCAGCUCUAAAUGGGUGGUAAGUUCCAUCUAAAGCUAAAUAUUGGCGAGAGACCGAUAGCGAACAAGUACCGUGAGGGAAAGAUGAAAAGAACUUUGGAAAGAGAGUUAAACAGUACGUGAAAUUGCUGAAAGGGAAACGCUUGAAGUCGGUCGCGUUGGCUGGGUAAAUUCGAGAAAUCAACCYUGCUUUCUUGAAAGCUUGGCUUAUUUCCCAGCUGACGGGCCAGCAUCAGUUUUGACCGGUGGAUAAAGGCCAAGGGAAUGUGGCACCUCUKGGGGUGUGUUAU